AAAUAGCUCAGUUGGGAGAGCGUCAGACUGAAGAUCUGAAGGUCCCUGGUUCAAUCUGGAGAGUUUG
rfam:Nematostella vectensis strain CH2 x CH6 NEMVEscaffold_4761_Cont48461, whole genome shotgun sequence.